GACGAACGCUGGCGGCGGGCUUAACACAUGCAAGUCGAGCGGAAAGGCGCUGGUUUUGUGGGGUGCUCGAGUGGCGAACGGGUGAGUAACACGUGAGUAACCUGCCCUUGACUUUGGGAUAACUUCAGGAAACUGGGGCUAAUACCGGAUAGGAGCUCCUGCUGCAUGGUGGGGGUGGGAAAGUUUCGGCGGUUGGGGAUGGACUCGCGGCGUAUCAGCUUGUUGGUGGGGUAGUGGCUUACCAAGGCUUUGACGGGUAGCCGGCCUGAGAGGGUGACCGGCCACAUUGGGACUGAGAUACGGCCCAGACUCCUACGGGAGGCAGCAGUGGGGACUAUUGCACAAUGGGCGGAAGCCUGAUGCAGCAACGCCGCGUGCGGGAUGACGGCCUUCGGGUUGUAAACCGCUUUCGCCUGUGACGAAGCGUGAGUGACGGUAAUGGGUAAAGAAGCACCGGCUAACUACGUG
rnacentral:rRNA from 1 species